rnacentral:rRNA from 1 species
AGUGAACGCUGGCGGUAGGCCUAACACAUGCAAGUCGAACGGCAGCACAGGAGAGCUUGCUCUCUGGGUGGCGAGUGGCGGACGGGUGAGGAAUACAUCGGAAUCUACUUUUUCGUGGGGGAUAACGUAGGGAAACUUACGCUAUACCGCAUACGACCUACGGGUGAAAGCAGGGGACCUUCGGGCCUUGCGCGAUCCAAGCAGCCGAUGUCGGAUUAGCUAGUUGGCGGGGUAAAGGCCCACCAAGGCGACGAUCCGUAGCUGGUCUGAGAGGAUGAUCAGCCACACUGGAACUGAGACACGGUCCAGACUCCUACGGGAGGCAGCAGUGGGGAAUAUUGGACAAUGGGCGCAAGCCUGAUCCAGCCAUACCGCGUGGGUGAAGAAGGCCUUCGGGUUGUAAAGCCCUUUUGUUGGGAAAGAAAUCCAGCCGGCUAAUACCUGGUUGGGAUGACGGUACCCAAAGAAUAAGCACCGGCUAACUUCGUGCCAGCCGCCGCGGUAAGAC